rnacentral:rRNA from 1 species
AAUAUUGCGCAAUGGAGGAAACUCUGACGCAGCGACGCCGCGUGAGCGAUGAAGGUCUUCGGAUCGUAAAGCUCUGUCCUCAGGGAAGAAGAAAGUGACGGUACCUGAGGAGGAAGCCCCGGCUAACUACGUGCCAGCAGCCGCGGUAAUACGUAGGGGGCGAGCGUUGUCCGGAAUUAUUGGGCGUAAAGGGUGCGUAGGCGGCCUUUUAAGUCAGAUGUGAAAGACCACAGCUUAACUGUGGGGUUGCAUUUGAAACUGUGAGGCUUGAGUAUCGGAGAGGGUAGUGGAAUUCCAAGUGUAGCGGUGAUAUGCGUAGAUAUUUGGAGGAACACCAGUGGCGAAGGCGACUGCCUGGACGAAAACUGACGCUGAGGCACGAAAGCUAGGGGAGCAAAC